AGCUAAAUAGUUCAGUGAGUAGAGCAUGAGACUCCUAAUCUCAGGGUCAUAGGUUUGAGCCCCACAUUUGGCAA